rnacentral:rRNA from 1 species
CAGUAGCCGCGGUAAUACGUAGGUGGCAAGCGUUGUCCGAAAUUAUUGGGCGUAAAGGGCUCGCAGGCGGUUUCUUAAGUCUGAUGUGAAAGCCCCCGGCUCAACCGGGGAGGGUCAUUGGAAACUGGGAAACUUGAGUGCAGAAGAGGAGAGUGGAAUUCCACGUGUAGCGGUGAAAUGCGUAGAGAUGUGGAGGAACACCAGUGGCGAAGGCGACUCUCUGGUCUGUAACUGACGCUGAGGAGCGAAAGCGUGGGGAGCGAACAGGAUUAGAUACCCGGGUAGUCCCUGUCUCUUAUAC